GUAAUCAUCACCCUGGGGUGGCUGUGGACUCUUGUGCUAACCACGCCUUCAAAGCUCGAUCCCUGGGGGGUUUGAACCAGUUCGUUCACUGCCAGCCGAAGGGGGUUCACAGUUCUUACACCAAUAUUCCCCGCCAGCUUCGAUGUUGUUCCAUUUCUGUGAUCUUGGUAACAUUUCCUCCCGUCCACAUUUGCUCGUCUACAUUUUCCUUGGGAGCGAUGCCGCUUGUUGAGACAGACAGCAGAUCUAGAUCAGAUUGAAGAACAGCCUGCCUUCAGAAAUUGUAUUGACCAACAUACCACCCUCUUCCUCUGUCUGCCACCAGAAUUUCUGAGCAGCGGCACCUAUAUUCUCAAAAUUAGCGUUCUCUCAGUCGAAAGUUGCCGGAUUUACAAAGUCUACUUUUUAAGCACACAUAAUUUUUUUUUAAACGGACCAAUUUAUAAUAUAAUCAGCGUGUUGUCAGAUACUGUUAUAUAUUCUCUAAAUAUAAAAAAUCAAGAAAUACU
rnacentral:sRNA from 1 species